UACGAAGGGGGCUAGCGUUGCUCGGAAUCACUGGGCGUAAAGGGUGCGUAGGCGGGUUUUUAAGUCAGAGGUGAAAUCCUGGAGCUCAACUCCAGAACUGCCUUUGAAACUAGAUAGCUAGAAUCAUGGAGAGGUGAGUGGAAUUCCGAGUGUAGAGGUGAAAUUCGUAGAUAUUCGGAAGAACACCAGUGGCGAAGGCGGCUCACUGGACAUGUAUUGACGCUGAGGUGCGAAACGUGGGGAGCAAACAGGG
rnacentral:rRNA from 1 species